rnacentral:rRNA from 1 species
UACGUAGGGUGCAAGCGUUAAUCGGAAUUACUGGGCGUAAAGCGUGCGCAGGCGGUUUUGUAAGUCUGACGUGAAAUCCCCGGGCUCAACCUGGGAAUUGCGUUGGAGACUGCAAGGCUAGAAUCUGGCAGAGGGGGGUAGAAUUCCACGUGUAGCAGUGAAAUGCGUAGAGAUGUGGAGGAACACCGAUGGCGAAGGCAGCCCCCUGGGUCAAGAUUGACGCUCAUGCACGAAAGCGUGGGGAGCAAAAAGG